rnacentral:rRNA from 1 species
GUCCAGAGGAGCUGCUCUGGGCUCUAGUGGCAGACGGGUAAGUAACGCGUGGGCAAUCUACCUCCGAGCGGGGGAUACCCAACCGAAAGAUUGGUUAGUACCGCAUAAUACUCCAGGUACUUCGGUACUUGGGCUCAAAGUUGGGGACUUGGGAAACCGGGCCUGACACUUGGAGAGGAGCUCGCGUCAGAUUAGCUAGUUGGUGGGGUAAUGGCCUACCAAGGCAACGAUCUGUAGCCGGCCUGAGAGGGUGAUCGGCCACACUGGAACUGAGACACGGUCCAGACUCCUACGGGAGGCAGCAGUGGGGAAUUUUGCGCAAUGGGGGAAACCCUGACGCAGCAACGCCGCGUGGGUGACGAAGCAUCUUGGUGUGUAAAGCCCUGUCAGAUGGGACUAAGGUUGCAUGUUUAAUAAGCGUGUAACUUGACUGUACCUUCAGAGGAAGCCCCGGCUAACUCCGUGCCAGCAGCCGCGGUAAUACGGAGGGGGCAAGCGUUAUUCGGAAUUACUGGGCGUAAAGGGCGCGUAGGCGGCCUGGUCAGUGAGAAGUGAAAGCCCUCGGCUCAACCGGGGAACUGCUUCUCAUACUGCCAGGCUAGAGAGUGGGAGAGGAAAGUGGAAUACCCGGUGUAGCGGUGAAAUGCGU